rnacentral:lncRNA from 1 species
GCUUCUCCGAGCCUGCGGAGCCCAGUCCCCUGCUGGAGGUCCCGCUGCUGAGCUCGAGGCUCCUGGGGGACAUCUUGGGGGGCGCUCUUGGGUGCAAAACAUAGCUCACCACCGCGAGCUAUGCACGCGGAGCUGGGCACACGCUCGGACCGGACACGGGCCCUGCCGACAGCAGGGUCAGGACGAGAUCACCUAGAUUCAGGUGGCCCUAGAGGCGGGGGCGACGGGCGUGGAGGAAGAGGACCCGCUGGAGACGGGCGCCUCCUGUCGACGGGCGUGGAGGAAGAGGACCCGCUGGAGACGGGCGCCUCCUGAGCUGCGGUGGUGGAGCCGCCAGCGCCCUCUCCGCACGGCACGACAGUGUGUGUGCAGAUGAGGCCCCGCGUCACGCUCCUGGGCCUCCGGGUUGGCUUUAUUCUCAGGAAGAUGGACUGGCAGCCCAGACCCACAUCCCAUCCGCUUGCCAGCACCAGCAAAGAGAGGCUCUGUCCUUCAGGUGGUUCCCACACUUCAGUGAGCUCUGCCUGGAACCCAUGACUGCUCAGGGAGUACCAGGAUCUGAUUGGCCAGCCUUGGUCAUGUGCCCCUGGGAGUGGGUGGGCGGGGCCGCCCAGCCCAG